rnacentral:ncRNA from 1 species
GGAUCUUGGGAGAGUCUGCCCGAAUAUGUGGCGGCACCGAAGGAGCAAGGAGACGGCGAUGCAACCCGUCACCCGAAUCUCUCAGGUACAAGGACCAGG